GAGCACUGAUUGGAUGAUGAAAUGAGCUUACAAUAGAUAUGAGUGCAUGGGAUAACUGGCAAUCUUGACUAAAUCUCAACCGUUCAUGAUUCAAUGGCCAUGAUUGUGCCACGUGGCGAUGGUUGGUGAAGCAAGUUGGAGGAUCCGAAUCUUUGUAUUCGGGUCGACCCGAUUCACCCAUUAACCCGCCAAAUCUCAACCGUUCUUUGGGCAAAUCGGAUGAGUCAAAUGAUGCCAUGUGUGAUGUUGACUUUUGAAGUUUGACCAGCCAUUGGAUCUUGAUCUAAGGGUUGUGAGGAGCACAUGCAUGAAGCCUAUGAUGGACCGCAAAGCACUGGAUUAUGAAUUUAUUUUUCUAUAAAUAUGGCCUUAUUUUUAUGUUUUAAUCAUCUCUCUACAACUCUCUUCUUCUCAAAUUCUCUCCAUCUCCUUGUAAUCUUGAUUUCCAGGUGUGUUUUUAAUAUUUUGUAUAAUUAUUUUCAUUAAUAAAAUUAGUUUUAUUUCCAAUUUUAGUUGUUUUUAUUUCUUUUAAUUAUAAGUAAUUCAAUUUUACUACUUCUUUUUAUUUUAAUUAUGCUUAACUAAAUAAUAUUAGUUAGGAGAAGCUGAAACUCUUAAGAAAUAAAUAUGAUUUAAUCAAAUUCCAUGUUUAAUUUUAUAAAUUAAAUUAUUUUUCUAUUUAAUUUUAUACAUGUUUUAUAUUUUGAAAAUUUGAUUUAUUGUAGACAAACAAAUGAAUUUGGCACAAUAAAUUCUUAAGAUCUUAAUAUAAGGCAUGGUAAAAUGGUAUUUUGACUUAUUGUAGACAAAUUAAAUUUUGGCACAAUAAAUACUUAAUCCAUCAUAAAAUUAAAGGGAAAAUAAUAAUAAUUUGUAUAAUUAAUCUUUUGAGUAAUAAAUCUAAAACAAAUUGGCAAAAAGAAUUUAUUAAGUUUUAUUUAUUUCUAAGAGUGGAUCCAUAACCCUAACUAGUUCAAUUCCAUAGUUUCAUUUAAAUUAAGUUGUUUAUAUUCAAGUUUUAAUUUCAAUUUUUAAAUAAAAUAAAAUAAACUAAUUAAAUCUUUUCUCUGUGGAUCGACCUCGGACUCACCGAGUUAUAAUACAACAAGACACUCUUAUACUUGGGAGUUAAAAUUUACUUUUAAGUUGUGUCAAGUUUUUGGCGCCAUUGCCGGGACCCUAACUAGUUCAAUUUCAUAGUUUCAUUUAAAUUAAGUUGUUUAUAUUUAAGUUUUAAUUUCAAUUUUUAGUUAAAAUAAAAUAAACUAAUUAAAUCUUUUCUCUGUGGAUCGAUCUCGGACUCACCGAGUUAUAAUACAACAAGACACUCUUAUACUUGGGAGUUAAAAAUUACUUUUAAGUUGUGUUACGUUUUUGGCGCUGUUGCCGGGGAAAAAUUUUUUUUAUUUGGUUUGUUUUUCCGUUGUUUAUUUUUCUCUUAUAUGUAAAAUUUUGUUUGCCCCCUUUUCUUUUCUUAAAUUCUCUUUUAUCCCCAAAUCUUCUUGUAAUUACGUUCAGCCCCCAACAUCUUUCAACUGUUUCACUUUCAUCCCAAAAGGCUCAAUUCUAAACUUCUAAAAAUUACAGUUUGGCCAUAAAAUUAAAAAUAAUUUGUAAUAAAAUCCCUAGACGAAAUUCCUCAACAUAAUCAAGACUUGGGCAUACUUGGACAUGCUUUGGACAUAUUUGGACAUACUUUGGACUUUAUUUGGACCAAACUAAUUUUAACUACUAACUCUAAUUACUAAUUCUUAACUUACUAACUGCUAACUCCUAACUUUUUUUAUUUCAGUUAUUUAAUUUUCUGCAUUUAUAUUAUUUCAUAUUUAUUUAUUUAUUUUUGCUUUAUUGGUGGGUUUAACCACCAAACUAACUACUAACUCUUAACUUUUAUUUUCAGUUAUUUAACUUUCAGUAUUUAUUUAAUUUUGUAUUUUUUUAAUUGGUGGGUUCAACCAUCAUUUUUUUUUUCAUUUUGUAUUUAUUUUAUACUUAAUUUAUUGUUAAUUGGUGGGUUCAACCACCAAAAUUGUUAUUUAGUUUUCUUUUGUAUACUUAUAUUAUUUGCUUUUUUUUUAUUUUGUUAUCAAUUUGUGUAAAUAUUAUCUUUAUAACAUAACCCUUGCAUGAGACAUUGGUCUCGAUCUUCAAGUGGCAGGUUAAUUCGUAGAUCUCAAUCUUCACCACCAAUCAUGGAUGAGAAUGAAGGUGAAAACGUUUUGGGCGAACUUAAUCCUCAAAUUGAUCAAGGAGACAACCGAUCUCAACAUGGGGCCAUAGAAAUUGAGAAUCCAACUAUCGGUGUCACAUUUAAAGUUAAUGGUCAAAGAUUAAAACCAUAUCUGGAACAUCACCCACGUGACGAGGACACCGAAAUUAAUUUGGAUGACCCACCAGUUCUUGAUUAAGUCUUUAAUAAUUUUUUUUCUUUUUGUUUUACUAUUAUUUUACCGUUUCAUUGUUUGAUUUUUUUCUUCUUUUUCUAGAUUGAUGCACUGUACAUAGUUUUUUUUAACAUUGUUUUU
rnacentral:lncRNA from 1 species